GGUCAAGUGAAGAAGCGCAUACGGUGGAUGCCUUGGCAGUCAGAGGCGAUGAAAGACGUGGUAGCCUGCGAAAAGCUUCGGGGAGUCGGCAAACAGACUGUGAUCCGGAGAUGUCUGAAUGGGGGAACCCAGCCAUCAUAAGAUGGUUAUCUUGUACUGAAUACAUAGGUGCAAGAGGCGAACCAGGGGAACUGAAACAUCUAAGUACCCUGAGGAAAAGAAAUCAACCGAGAUUCCCUUAGUAGUGGCGAGCGAACGGGGACUAGCCCUUAAGUGGCUUUGAGAUUAGCGGAACGCUCUGGAAAGGGCGGCCAUAGUGGGUGAUAGCCCUGUACGCGAAAAUCUCUUAGUCAUGAAAUCGAGUAGGACGGAGCACGAGAAACUUUGUCUGAAUAUGGGGGGACCAUCCUCCAAGGCUAAAUACUACUGACUGACCGAUAGUGAACUAGUACCGUGAGGGAAAGGCGAAAAGAACCCCGGAGAGGGGAGUGAAAUAGAUCCUGAAACCGUAUGCGUACAAGCAGUGGGAGCCCACUUUGUUGGGUGACUGCGUACCUUUUGUAUAAUGGGUCAGCGACUUAUUUUCAGUGGCGAGCUUAACCGAAUAGGGGAGGCGUAGCGAAAGCGAGUCUUAAUAGGGCGUCUAGUCGCUGGGAAUAGACCCGAAACCGGGCGAUCUAUCCAUGGGCAGGUUGAAGGUUGGGUAACACUAACUGGAGGACCGAACCGACUACCGUUGAAAAGUUAGCGGAUGACCUGUGGAUCGGAGUGAAAGGCUAAUCAAGCUCGGAGAUAGCUGGUUCUCCUCGAAAGCUAUUUAGGUAGCGCCUCAUGUAUCACUGUAGGGGGUAGAGCACUGUUUCGGCUAGGGGGUCAUCCCGACUUACCAAACCGAUGCAAACUCCGAAUACCUACAAGUGCCGAGCAUGGGAGACACACGGCGGGUGCUAACGUCCGUCGUGAAAAGGGAAACAACCCAGACCGUCAGCUAAGGUCCCAAAGUUAUGGUUAAGUGGGAAACGAUGUGGGAAGGCUUAGACAGCUAGGAGGUUGGCUUAGAAGCAGCCACCCUUUAAAGAAAGCGUAAUAGCUCACUAGUCGAGUCGGCCUGCGCGGAAGAUGUAACGGGGCUCAAACCAUACACCGAAGCUACGGGUAUCACUUAGGUGAUGCGGUAGAGGAGCGUUCUGUAAGCCUGUGAAGGUGAGUUGAGAAGCUUGCUGGAGGUAUCAGAAGUGCGAAUGCUGACAUGAGUAACGACAAUGGGUGUGAAAAACACCCACGCCGAAAGACCAAGGUUUCCUGCGCAACGUUAAUCGACGCAGGGUUAGUCGGUCCCUAAGGCGAGGCUGAAAAGCGUAGUCGAUGGAAAACAGGUUAAUAUUCCUGUACUUCUGGUUAUUGCGAUGGAGGGACGGAGAAGGCUAGGCCAGCUUGGCGUUGGUUGUCCAAGUUUAAGGUGGUAGGCUGGAAUCUUAGGUAAAUCCGGGAUUCUAAGGCCGAGAGCUGAUGACGAGUUACCCUUUGGGUGACGAAGUGGUUGAUGCCAUGCUUCCAAGAAAAGCUUCUAAGCUUCAGGUAACCAGGAACCGUACCCCAAACCGACACAGGUGGUUGGGUAGAGAAUACCAAGGCGCUUGAGAGAACUCGGGUGAAGGAACUAGGCAAAAUGGCACCGUAACUUCGGGAGAAGGUGCGCCGGUGAGGGUGAAGCACUUGCUGCGUAAGCCCACGCCGGUCGAAGAUACCAGGCCGCUGCGACUGUUUAUUAAAAACACAGCACUCUGCAAACACGAAAGUGGACGUAUAGGGUGUGACGCCUGCCCGGUGCCGGAAGGUUAAUUGAUGGGGUUAGCUAACGCGAAGCUCUUGAUCGAAGCCCCGGUAAACGGCGGCCGUAACUAUAACGGUCCUAAGGUAGCGAAAUUCCUUGUCGGGUAAGUUCCGACCUGCACGAAUGGCGUAACGAUGGCGGCGCUGUCUCCACCCGAGACUCAGUGAAAUUGAAAUCGCUGUGAAGAUGCAGUGUAUCCGCGGCUAGACGGAAAGACCCCGUGAACCUUUACUAUAGCUUUGCACUGGACUUUGAAUUUGCUUGUGUAGGAGGUGGGAGGCUUUGAAGCGUGGACGCCAGUUCGCGUGGAGCCAACCUUGAAAUACCACCCUGGCAACUUUGAGGUUCUAACUCAGGUCCGUUAUCCGGAUCGAGGACAGUGUAUGGUGGGUAGUUUGACUGGGGCGGUCUCCUCCUAAAGAGUAACGGAGGAGUACGAAGGUGCGCUCAGACCGGUCGGAAAUCGGUCGUAGAGUAUAAAGGCAAAAGCGCGCUUGACUGCGAGACAGACACGUCGAGCAGGUACGAAAGUAGGUCUUAGUGAUCCGGUGGUUCUGUAUGGAAGGGCCAUCGCUCAACGGAUAAAAGGUACUCCGGGGAUAACAGGCUGAUACCGCCCAAGAGUUCAUAUCGACGGCGGUGUUUGGCACCUCGAUGUCGGCUCAUCACAUCCUGGGGCUGAAGCCGGUCCCAAGGGUAUGGCUGUUCGCCAUUUAAAGUGGUACGCGAGCUGGGUUUAGAACGUCGUGAGACAGUUCGGUCCCUAUCUGCCGUGGACGUUUGAGAUUUGAGAGGGGCUGCUCCUAGUACGAGAGGACCGGAGUGGACGAACCUCUGGUGUUCCGGUUGUCACGCCAGUGGCAUUGCCGGGUAGCUAUGUUCGGAAAAGAUAACCGCUGAAAGCAUCUAAGCGGGAAACUUGCCUCAAGAUGAGAUCUCACUGGGACCUUGAGUCCCCUGAAGGGCCGUCGAAGACUACGACGUUGAUAGGUGGGGUGUGUAAGCGCUGUGAGGCGUUGAGCUAACCCAUACUAAUUGCCCGUGAGGCUUGACCAU
rnacentral:rRNA from 1 species